rnacentral:rRNA from 1 species
CAAAAGCGUAUAUUAAAGUUGUUGCAGUUAAAAAGCUCGUAGUUGAACCUUGGGCUUGGCUGGCCGGUCCAUCUUUUUUGAUGCGUACUGGACCCAGCCGAGCCUUUCCUUCUGGCUAGCCUUUUGGCGAACCAGGACUUUUACUUUGAAAAAAUUAGAGUGUUCAAAGCAGGCCUUUGCUCGAAUAUAUUAGCAUGGAAUAAUAGAAUAGGACGUUAUGGUUCUAUUUUGUUGGUUUCUAGGACCAUCGUAAUGAUUAAUAGGGACGGUCGGGGGUAUCAGUAUUCGGUUGUCAGAGGUGAAAUUCUUGGAUUUACUGAAGACUAACUACUGCGAAAGCAUUUACCAAGGACGUUUUCAUUAA